rnacentral:rRNA from 1 species
GAUGAACGCUAGCGGCAGGCUUAAUACAUGCAAGUUGAGGGGCAGCAUGAUAUACGCGAGUAUAUUGAUGGCGACCGGCGGACGGGUGAGUAAUAGGUAGGAGACCUACCUCAUACAGGGGGAUAGCAUAGAGAAAUCUGUGGUAAUACCCCAUGAGGUUAUAUGAAUAGAGGCAUAUAAUCAAAGCAUAAGCGAUUAUGCGGUAUGAGAGGGGCCUACUGACCAUUAGCUAGUUGGUGAGGUAAGGGCUCACCAAGGCGAAGAUGGUUAGGGGUUUUGAGAGAGAGACCCCCCACAUUGGAACUGAGAGACGGUCCAGACUCCUACGGGAGGCAGCAGUAGGGAAUAUUGGGCAAUGGGCGAAAGCCUGACCCAGCCAUGCCGCGUGAAGGAAGACGGCCUUAUGGGUUUAAACUUCUUUACUACGCGAAUAGAGGUUAGUACGAGAUACUAAUAGGAAGGUAGUGUAGUAAAAGCAACCGGCUAACUCCGUG